GGCCUCGUCGUCUAAUGGAUAUGACGUUGGUCUUCGGAACCAAAGGUUGUGGGUUCGAGUCCCAUCGGGGUCG
rfam:Cryptosporidium ubiquitum isolate 39726 contig_16, whole genome shotgun sequence.